rnacentral:tRNA from 2 species
CGGGAUGUAGCGCAGCUGGUAGCGCACGUGCUUUGGGAGCAUGGGGUCGGGGGUUCAAGUCCCCCCAUCCCGA